GACGUAGGGGGCAAGCGUUGUCCGGAUUUAUUGGGCGUAAAGAGCGUGUAGGCGGCCAUGUAGGUCCGUUGUGAAAACUCGAGGCUCAACCUCGAGACGCCGAUGGAAACCAUGUGGCUAGAGUCCGGAAGAGGAGAGUGGAAUUCCUGGUGUAGCGGUGAAAUGCGCAGAUAUCAGGAAGAACACCCGUGGCUAAGGCGGCUCUCUAGUACGGUACUGACGCUGAGACGCGAAAGCGUGGGGAGCGAACAGG
rnacentral:rRNA from 1 species